CACGUAGGGGGCGAGCGUUGUCCGGAUUUAUUGGGCGUAAAGAGCUCGUAGGCGGCUCAGUAAGUCGGGUGUGAAAACUCCAGGCUCAACCUGGAGACGCCACCUGAUACUGCUGUGGCUAGAGUCCGGUAGGGGAGCAUGGAAUUCCAGGUGUAGCGGUGAAAUGCGUAGAUAUCUGGAGGAACACCGGUGGCGAAGGCGGCAUCCUGGACCAUUACUGACACUGAAAGCGAAAGCCAGGGGAGCAAACGGG
rnacentral:rRNA from 1 species